CGCUCCGCCCCGAGAGGGAGAUAGAGCCCUAGCCGGACAGCCCAGCAGCACAGCCCAGGAGGCCCACGAGCCCGCCACUCAGAGCGCUAGAGAAGUCUCCGAGAGAGCUCAGUGUCCCGCCGUCCCGCCCCGACAGCGCCCACAGCCCGACCCCCAGGCCGUACGUCCCCGGCCCCGCGCCGCGCCACCAUGAUGAACAACAGCAACUACUCCGACGCCUCCGGCCUCGGCCUGCUUGACGAGGCGGACGAGAUGCCGUCCACCGAGAAGGACCUAGCGGAGGACGCGCCGUGGAAGAAGAUCCAGCAAAACACAUUCACGCGGUGGUGCAACGAGCAUCUCAAGUGUGUGGGCAAGCGGCUGACCGACCUGCAGCGAGACCUCAGCGACGGGCUGCGCCUCAUCGCGC
rnacentral:lncRNA from 1 species